UACGUAGGGUGCAGGCGUUAAUCGGAAUUACUGGGCGUAAAGAGCGUGUAGGCGGCCAGAUAAGUCCGCUGUGAAAUCUCGAGGCUCAACUUCGAGCUGUCGGUGGAAACUAUCUGGCUAGAGUCCGGAAGAGGAGAAUGGAAUUCCUGGUGUAGCGGUGAAAUGCGCAGAUAUCAGGAAGAACACCCGUGGCGAAGGCGGUUCUCUGGGACGGUACUGACGCUGAGACGCGAAAGCGUGGGGAGCGAACAGG
rnacentral:rRNA from 1 species